GUCUGUGGCUCAGUGGUAGAGUACUUGCCUAGCAUGCAUGAGGCACUGGGUUCAAUCCCCAGAACAACACAAACA
rnacentral:tRNA from 1 species